rnacentral:rRNA from 1 species
UACGUAGGGCGCAAGCGUUGUCCGGAAUUAUUGGGCGUAAAGAGCUCGUAGGCGGUCUGUCGCGUCGGUUGUGAAAACACAAGGCUCAACCUUGUGCCUGCAAUCGAUACGGGCAGACUAGAGUACUGCAGGGGAGACUGGAAUUCCUGGUGUAGCGGUGGAAUGCGCAGAUAUCAGGAGGAACACCAGUAGCGAAGGCGGCUCGCUGGGCCAUUCCUGACGCUGGAGACGCGAAAAGCUAGGGGAGCGAACAGG